CCUACGGGAGGCAGCAGUGGGGAAUAUUGCACAAUGGGGGAAACCCUGAUGCAGCGACGCCGCGUGAGUGAAGAAGGAUUUCGGUAUGUAAAGCUCUAUCAGCAGGGAAGAAGAAAGACGGUACUUGACUAAGAAGCCCCGGCUAACAACGUGCAAGCACCCGCGGUAAUAGGUAGGGGGCAAGCGUUAUCCGGAUUUACUGGGGGAAAGGGAGCGUAGACGGGUGUGCAAGUCUGAGGUGAAAGCCCAGGGCUCAACCCUGGGACUGCUUUGGAAACUGUGGAGCUAGAGUGCUGGAGAGGUAAGUGGAAUUCCUGGUGUAGCGGUGAAAUGCGUAGAUAUUAGGAGGAACACCAGUGGCGAAGGCGGCUUACUGGACAGUAACUGACGUUGAGGCUCGAAAGCGUGGGGAGCAAACAGGAUUAGAUACCCCAGUAGUC
rnacentral:rRNA from 1 species